GGUCUUGACAUCCCGGAGACCCUUAGGAAACUAGGGGGUGCUCCAUCUGGAAGAAUCUGGAGACAGGUGCUGCAUGGCUGUCGUCAGCUCGUGUCGUGAGAUGUUGGGUUAAGUCCCGCAACGAGCGUAACCCUUGCCUUUAGUUGCCAGCAGUUCGGCUGGGCACUCUAAAGGGACUGCCGGUGUUAAACCGGAGGAAGGUGGGGAUGACGUCAAGUCCUCAUGGCCUUUAUGACCAGGGCUACACACGUACUACAAUGGCCGAUACAAAGGGCAGCGACACUGCGAGGUGAAGCCAAUCCCGUAAAAUCGGUCUCAGUCCGGAUUGGAGUCUGCAACUCGACUCCAUGAAGUUGGAAUCGCUAGUAAUCGUGGAUCAGCAUGCCACGGUGAAUACGUUCCCGGGCCUU
rnacentral:rRNA from 1 species